CCUACGGGUGGCAGCAGUGAGGAAUAUUGGUCAAUGGGCGGAAGCCUGAACCAGCCAAGUCGCGUGAGGGAGUAAGGCCCUACGGGUCGUAAACCUCUUUUGCCGGGGAGCAGUGCCCAGCUCGUGAGCUGGGCGGGAGCGUACCCGGAGAAAAAGCAUCGGCUAACUCCGUGCCAGCAGCCGCGGUAAUACGGAGGAUGCGAGCGUUAUCCGGAUUUAUUGGGUUUAUAGGGUGCGUAGGCGGGCUGUUAAGCCGGCGGUAAAAAUUCAGGGCUCAACCCUGUCGAGCCGUCGGAACUGGCAGUCUUGAGUGGGCGAGAAGUAUGCGGAAUGCGUGGUGUAGCGGUGAAAUGCAUAGAUAUCACGCAGAACGCCGAUUGCGAAGGCAGCAUACCGGCGCCCAACUGACGCUGAGGCACGAAAGCGUGGGGAUCGAACAGGAUUAGAUACCCGAGUAGUC
rnacentral:rRNA from 1 species